AUGUAUGCUCGUUUGCUAUCAAAUGGAAAAGGAAAACCUAUGGUAUAUGAAUCUGGAUAUUGUCCACAAAGGAAAACCUUAGGUUGUCCAAGUUUCUCAGGUCUCCUAUUUGGCAUUCAUCAUUAUGAUCAAAAUCUAGAUAUUGCUAUCGAAUAAAAGAAACAGCUUAUCAUCUCCACUGUUCUUAUGACUCUGGGAGUUGCAAUUGUUAGUUGGAUUGCCCUUCCAUCAUCCUUCACAAUCUUCAAUUUUGGCUCUCAGAAAGUUGUGAAGAAUUGGCAGCUGUUCUUGUGUGUGGGUGUUGGUCUUUGGGCUGGACUUAUUAUUGGGUUUGUAACUGAGUAUUACACUAGCAAUGCAUACAGCCCUGUGCAAGAUGUGGCUGAUUCCUACAGGACUGGAACUGCCACAAAUGUCAUCUUUGGCCUUGCUUUGGGAUACAAAUCUGUCAUCAUUCCUAUUUUUGCUAUUGCAGUUAGUAUUUUUGUUAGUUUCAGUUUUGCUGCCAUGUAUGGCAUUGCAGUGGCAGCCCCAGGAAUGCUGAGUACCAUUGCUACUGGGCUUGCUAUUGAUGCUUAUGGUCCCAUCAGUGACAAUGCGGGAGGAAUUGCUGAGAUGGCUGGCAUGAGCCACAGAAUCCGAGAGAGAACUGAUGCACUUGAUGCCGCAGGCAACACCACUGCUGCCAUUGGGAAGGGAUUUGCAAUUGGAUCUGCGGCACUCGUGUCUUUGGCACUGUUUGGUGCCUUUGUAAGUCGUGCAUCGAUCUCAACUGUUGAUGUCUUGACUCCAAAGGUCUUCAUUGGUUUGCUUGUUGGUGCAAUGCUUCCUUACUGGUUCUCAGCCAUGACCAUGAAGAGUGUGGGACGUGCAGCUCUUAAGAUGGUUGAGGAGGUUCGCAGACAGUUCAACACCAUUCCAGGUCUGAUGGAGGGCCUUGCCAAGCCUGAUUAUGCCACUUGUGUCAAGAUCUCUACUGAUGCAUCCAUUAAGGAGAUGAUUCCACCUGGUGCCCUUGUCAUGCUCACACCCCUUAUCGUUGGGACCUUCUUUGGCGUGGAGACUCUAUCUGGAGUACUAGCUGGCUCCCUUGUUUCUGGUGUCCAGAUAGCAAUCUCUGCUUCUAACACUGGCGGUGCAUGGGAUAAUGCCAAGAAGUACAUUGAGGCUGGUGCUUCCGAGCAUGCAAGGACCCUUGGCCCAAAGGGGUCUGAUCCACACAAGGCAGCUGUGAUUGGUGACACCAUUGGAGACCCACUGAAGGACACCUCAGGCCCAUCGCUCAACAUCCUUAUCAAGCUCAUGGCAGUGGAGUCUCUCGUCUUUGCUCCCUUUUUUGCCACUCAUGGUGGGUUGCUUUUCAAGAUCUUCUGAGGAAUGGGAUGAUGAAAAAUACAUGGGCAAAGGGGUGAUUAGCCCUUUUUUCCCCAGUAUUUAUUCGGCACAUCUCUCACCAAUUCAUCUAAUCUCCAUAUCCAUCCAUCCCCACAUUGUGAGUUUUUCAAGUUAGUUUCUAUGUUUAGGGAAAUAUUAUUUUUGAAGGGCUGAUGAUGAUGAUGAUGAUAAUCAUGAUUGGUAAGGGAGGACAGGCAAAAUGGUUUUAACUGUCACAGAAGAGUCAGGAUGGUAGUGUGUUACUUUUCUUUAUACCUCUUUUUAGAACAGCUCUGUUCCUAAUUUCCUUGUAACCUUAUCCUUUUUUCCAUUAAAAGCAAGGAGAACGUGUUCAUCAAUUUUGGGUAUUUUUGCUGUCCAUCAGUGGAGCUUUGUAGUUUUUGUUUGGGUUAAAUGCGUGCAGGGCCUAGGUAGAUGGAAAAUGAUGCCGGUCUUUUUUAACUCUUGGAUUUUAGCUUUAUCAUCUCCAAAUUUUUAAAAAAUAGAUAUCUAAGGUAUGUUUGUUAAA